AGUAGGAAGAAAGACCUAGGAGGUGGGAGGCAGGUCGUGAUUAUCUGUGGUUCCUGAGAGGAAUUGUGAAAGCUGCAGGAAUUGUUGGACAACAUUACGUUCUUCUGCCGGCCUUACUCCCGCUAAAAGAAAGCCCGGACUAUGGGCUCCUCAGAGAAAGAUAAAGUUCUAGAACCAUUAGAAAGAAAUGCAAGGAAGUGAGGAGACCAAAAUGUCAGAUGCAUGAAUGUUUUUGCCCAUUUUGUGAGCUGGGUUCACCUGUGGCGAACCUUCUACAGUCCACCAGAGAAAUGAGAACAUAGUGAAUUUUUCAUUUAGUUAAAUUUAUUUACUCUAAGGAUUGUUUUUUAUUUCAAAAUUGCCUGUCCUUUUUUUUAAUGUAAUGAAAUAAUAGUCAAUAUUACUUGUUUUUCAAAUGUUCUUACUUCGGAGAAUAAAACAUUGGUAAUUUUAUGUGCCCAACAUGUGGCUUAUUUUUAAAGUUUUUCUUGGCCUAUGAAUUCCUGAAGUUGAGGAAUUAUAAGAAAUGACCACUGUCAGCAACCAUAAGGCUGCUGUGAUCCUAAUCUGCUUGGUUCAUUUGCUAUAGAUAUUGUCUGUACUCUAGAUAUGAUUUAGCCUAAGCCUGAAGGGUAGAUCUGAGCUUGAAUGGUGUUUGUUAAAAAUAAACAAACAAACAAACAAAAAGAGGUGAUUAUAACUGGAAGAUGGCAUGAGGGUCAAAAGUAAGCUGUUGAUCAACUUUCAUGUAAAUUAUGUAAAACAAUUGAAGUUUCUGUUUAUCUGUUACUGUAUCACAUGAAAAUAGGUAGAUGGAAUUUUGCCAUCCUUGAAGGAUGUGUUUGGAUUAGUCUGUCAUAAAAAUGAUAGAUUAAUUAAAUUUCUUUUGAACAAUCCUGGGAACUGGGCACUAUUAACACUUUGGCAUGUAUCUUCAUCUCUCUUUCAUUUAAUAUGUCCAUAGUGGUUUUAAAACCUGGUUUUAAAUUCUUUGACAAUCUUCUCAUAAAAAGAGAGUCAGUGUUUCCUCUUCUAAAGUCUGUAUGGGCCGGUGACUGAUUUGACCGGCAGAAUAUGGUUAAAGUGACCAUAGUCACUUUAUGUGACUAUGUGACUACUGAGGCUAGGUCAUAAAAGGCCAUAUAGCUCCACAUUGACUACUGGAACACUUACUUUUUGAACUUUCAAGCAUCAUGUAAAAAAGUCUCACUGCCUGAGGCUAAAGUGCUGUGAGAAAGCCUAGGACGCGCAGAGAGGCUCCUUGAAGGUACCCUGAGAGUCAGCUCAACCUAGCCCAGGUGACAGUCAUGAGUGAACAAGCUGAUUGCAGCUCCCAGCCAUACCAGGCAUUCCUCAGCCAUUUGAGUACUCCUGGCUGAGGCCAUAGUCAGUCAUGUGGACCAGAGAUAUGCACACCAUCCUUGUUUCUGCUUUGUCCUGUGUCCUGACCUGAAAAAUCCAUGCACACUUAGUUUGGAGUUGCUUGGUACACAUUUUUCCAGUAGUCUUUUAUCUAUGUGUUUAUAUUUACCUAAUCUGAAAGAAGUUUCUCCCUUAUAAUGAUUUUCUGCCUAUGGCUGACUCACCCUAGGAAGAAAUGUCUUAGAUUUUUCUUUUUAAGGAACAUUUUGGCUCCGGAAUCUGAGAUGAUGCUAACCAACCAAUGAGUUAAGUGAGUUUUAUAUAUAAAGAUUGUAAAAAGAGGAGAGAUCUAAGAGGGUCCUUACAGUAUGCUUCAAUUUGUAUUGUUUCCUUUUUUUCCUCUUCCCCUCUCAAAUGGGAGGGAAACUGGUCUAUUCUAUACCAAAUGAGUGGGGAAGAAAAUGGAAGUGGUAUAAGUUGUAAUAUCAAACUUCAAAUCUGAACCUUGGAGCUGAGUAUUUUUGCUUCUACUGAGAUUAAACUUUACCUACCAUAUCUUUCAGCCUAAAUUUUACACUUCGUUGAAGUUGCCAUGUCGUAUUCAUCUCUACUGUCCCCUGCCCUACCCAUGUCUAUAACAGAUAAAGCUGAGAUCCUUGAUAAGUAUCAUCGUAUCUCUAUUUGUCUAUAUGACUUUAUAUAUAGUCUACCUUAUCUUGAGGCUUCUCUCAGAUAUUUUUGGUCAAUACUGUAGUUGCAUUUAUAAAUUCAUUAAGUAGCAAAUUUAAUAAUCAUUAAAUAUGAAAAAAUAUAACAUGUUCAUGUUAAAAUAAAAAUGAAUUUCGAUGACUUGGAAAUUUUUUUAGUAUUUCAUAGCACUGUAAUUUAUUUAUUGGGUCUUACACUUCAGAGCUGUGGCUGACAAAAUGUCCUGCAGUCAUUCUUGGUCUGCAGUAUGUUUCUGUAUGGUCCUUGAGCUAAGAAUAAUUUUUUACCUUCUUUUUCAACUAUGGUAAAAUAUCCAAAACAUAGUAUUUACUGUUUUAAUCAUUUUUAAAUGUACAAUUCAGUAGUAUUAAAUAUAUUCACAUUGUUGUGCAACUCUUACCACUAUGACCUCCAGAACUUUUUUAUCAUCCCAAGUAGAAACUCUGCAUUCAUUAAGUAGCAACUCCCCACAGGUCUUGGGUCACCAUUAUUUUACUUUCUAUCUGUAUGAAUUUGACUAUCCAGCUAACUUGCAUAAGUGGAAUCAUACGAUAUUUGUUCUUUUGUGUCUGGCUUGUUUGACCUAGCAUAAUGUUUUCAAGGUUCAUACAUAUUGUAGAAUUUUAUUUCCUUUUUAGGAUUGAAUAAUAUUCCAUUGUACGUGUAUACCACAAUUUGUAUAUCCAUUUCAUCCAUUGAUUAUCUUUUGGGUUGUUCUUACCUUUUGACUAUUAAUAAAUGCUACUAUGAACAUUAGUAUAUAAAUAUUUGUUCGCAUCCUUGUUUCUUAUUUGGUUUUAUAUUUUUAAAGAGAUAAAAAGAACAUUUAAAUUUUUUUUUACUAUCCGGACUUUUCUAGAAAAGUUUGUCAACCCCUAAUUAAAAUUUAAGAUGGUUAUAUUGGGCUGUUUCAAAGUUGCUUAAUGAAUGUUUCCAUAAAGUUUAUUCAUUUCUUCAUUAGAAAAGGCAUAUUUAAAUUAUAGGAUUUGGAAAGGGGUAUAUAUCCCCCAAAGAUAAACUUAAAAUAACCCUUUUUACUCUAAACUUUUUAAAUUUGGAUUCGUCAGGGCUUAGUACUGCGGAAAGGCAUAUGUGUCCAAAAAAUGUACAUAAGCCUAAGGUACUUUGGAAGGAUAUUCUAACACGACAAUGGAAAGGUCCUGACCCAGUGAUUGUCUGGAGUUGGGGUUCUGUUUGUGUGUUUCCACAGGGAGAACAACAGCCGAUUUGGAUUCCAGAGAAACUAACCAAAGCGAAUUCUACGGACCAAAAAAAAAAAAAAAAAAAAAGGUGAUUUGACUCAAAUCCAUAACAGCUGAUAUCCAGAGCUCCAGUUUGGCUAUUCUUACAUCUGCAACAGUGAUUAACCAGGAUGCUUUUUUCAAUAUUUAUUUUAUUAUUUGCCUUUUCCCAUAUCAUAAAGUUCUAUUUUAUUUUUGAGCUCAUACAGACCUAGGUUACUAGGUUAAUGUUUUUCUGAUCAGUUUUAUUUUUUGACUGUGGAGUUUUUAAACAUUGCAAUGGAGAUUUCACCUAGGUAAAGCUACAAGGCCUUUACUAUUGUCUUAUGUGUUGCAUGUUAUGUGUGCACACUUCUGUUUUGUGUUGUAUGUCUGUAUGUGCGUAUGUCCAUAUAUCAUAUAUGAGGAGCGCUCAUGAAUAAAUGGAUCCGAAUUUUUUUUAUUCACUUGAUUUUAAUGGUUUAAUUUAGAUUGGCUAAACAGCUGUUGAAAAUUGUUUUAAUAUGUGAACAAAUAAGGUGGUUAACAGAUCUGUUUGUUUACUUUCACCUUUCCUUUUGAUUAUAUUUAAUAAUUCUGUUCAGGAUAAUGUAAAUUGUUCAAAAAAUUGUUUUCUUAGUGCCUGUUGGAAUGUUACAUAAUUUUUUUCUUAGCAUCAUUGCCAGAAUUCCUAUCUUCAUCCCAGUGCCGGUGAAGACAAAGAUAAAACCAAACUACAGCUUCUUCGAUAGUUAUCACAACAAACUGUAUAAACUGAUGCAUCAAUGAAUAAUAACUCAAGAAGUAAUGCUCAAUCAAGGAGUCGAUUUACUUUGGGAGGAAAUGGACAUAUUGACAGAUUCCUCUGCUUUGAACUGCUUGCAGAACUUGCCUGGACUAUGUAUCACUUGAAUGCAUUGUGAACUAUCUGUUGGUGUAGCGAAUUGUGGUAGUGCUGGAGUAUUUUUGCUGAUGGUGUCACCGGUGGUACAAUUUUUCAAAGGAGCCCUCAAUUGGCUUAGUGUCAUGGCAUUUUGCAUCCUCCUCCCUUCUACUAGUGAUGGUCUAAAAUUUGGGGGCCAACAGAGGUGAGGCAAAGAACCUCACCCCCCCCAGUGGUGCAAAGGCCUAUCCACAAGUAUGGCUAUAUGCUGGACUGGUAGUCAGUGACGGGUAUGAUCCAAUUGCAGUGGUACCAACCUAAGACAGGAGGCUGACGCCUAGAGGUCAGUUCAUCCUAUGAUGGGUAAGGACCAUAUGUUGAAUUGGACUACCUAACAGGCACUGUCCCUAAGCCACAUUGCUUGUUGUUUAAUUAGGGGAGAUGCUGAGAGCCACGGCCGAGUCUGUAUGGCCCCUGGCAUUUUGCCAACAGUAUUGAUUGACAGGCGAGGCAUUACUAUCCGCCUCUGCCGCAACUUUUGAGUUCUCGCACUACUUUGGAGUUCUCGUGGGGAUUUCCGGGGAUUCCCCGAGAGUUCCCAUUGGUUGGGGAAGUGCAGGAGGAGGGAUUUUCCAGGAGAGAUAUUUCCGGCUGGGAAAAGCUGCGUGGCAUUCGGGAGGAUUUCCCGGGAGCUGUGUGAAGUGUUUUCCUGCAGUUCAAAAAUAAAGUUUGUUCCUGCUUCA